rnacentral:rRNA from 1 species
GACGAACGCUGGCGGCGUGCUUAACACAUGCAAGUCGAACGAAGUGGCGAACGGGUGAGUAAUACGUGGGUAACCUGCCCUCCUUUUUGGGAUAAGACUUGGAACCGGGGUCUAAUCCGGAAUAAGGGGGGAGGGGCUCGCGGCCUAUCAGAUGGUUGGUGGGGUGAUGGCCUACCAAGGCGUUGACGGGGGGCCGGGCUGAGAGGGUGACCUGCCACAGUGGCACGGAGCUACCGCCGAGAGUCCGACGGGGGGGAGCAGUGGGCGAUAUGGGACAAUGCGCGAAAGACUGAUGCAGCGACGCCGAGUGGGGGCUGCAGGUUUUCGGGUUGUAAACCUCUUGCGCUAUCGAACGGGUAGGUGGAGAAGAAGCGCCGGCUAACUACGUGCCAGCAGCCGCGGUAAUUC